rnacentral:lncRNA from 1 species
GUCUGACUAAUAGCAACAUUGUAUUACAUUUCAUCAUAGGUUUGAUUAGUUUCUGCCAUCUCAGCAAAAGUGUUUAAAUGAUUGGAUAUUUCAUCAGUUGUCCCCUUCCCCCACUUACAGAGAAACGCCUCUCAAGAUUUCUGAUGAGCUUUUGUACGGUGAGCUUUUUACCAUAGAGUUCCUGAAUGCCUUCCUCAAGGGGAUUCCCUCCAUUACCAUUUCAGAUAUCCUGAGUGGUGAGUAUUAUGCCUACAUUUUACAAAUAAGAAAAUGAGGAGUCCCUGAUAAG